rnacentral:rRNA from 1 species
AAACUGGAGAGUUUGAUCCUGGCUCAGAACGAACGCUGGCGGCGUGCCUAACACAUGCAAGUCGAACG